ACUCAUGGCCAUACCGGAUUGUCAAAGUUUUAUCUCGUCAGAUCUCAGAAGCUAAUCAAGCUGGACCUGCUUAGUACUUGGAUGGAAGGCUGCUGGGAAUAUCAGGCGCCACAGUA
rnacentral:rRNA from 1 species